AGCAGCCGCGGUAAUUCCAGCUCCAAUAGCGUAUAUUAAAGUUGUUGCAGUUAAAAAGCUCGUAGUUGAAUUUCGGGGUUCUACCGUUGGUCGGGCAAUAGUCUGUACUGGCGUGUGGAAUUUCUACCUUCUGGGGAACCAUCAUGUUAUUAAUUUAACGUGGUGGGAAACCAGGACCUUUACCUUGAAAAAAUUAGAGUGUUCAAAGCAGGCUUAUGUCUGAAUACAUUAGCAUGGAAUAAUAAAAUAGGACGGCAUGGUUCUAUUUUGUUGGUUUCUAGGAUCACCGUAAUGAUUAAUAGGGAUAGUUGGGGGCAUUAGUAUUCAAUUGUCAGAGGUGAAAUUCUUGGAUUUAU
rnacentral:rRNA from 1 species